rnacentral:rRNA from 1 species
AACCUGCACACAGGUGCUGCAUGGCUGUCGUCAGCUCGUGUCGUGAGAUGUUGGGUUAAGUCCCGCAACGAGCGCAACCCUUGCCAUUAGUUGCUACGAAAGGGCACUCUAAUGGGACUGCCGGUGACAAACCGGAGGAAGGUGGGGAUGACGUCAAGUCCUCAUGGCCCUUAUAGGUGGGGCUACACACGUCAUACAAUGGCCGGUACAGAGGGUAGCCAACCCGCGAGGGGGGAGCCAAAUCCCACAAAGCCGGUCGUAGUCCGGAUCGCAGUCUGCAACUCGACUGCGUGAAGUCGGAAUCGCUAGUAAUCGCGGAUCAGCAUGUCGCGGUGAAUACGUUCCCGGGUCUU